rnacentral:rRNA from 1 species
UACGGAGGGGGCUAGCGUUGUUCGGAAUUACUGGGCGUAAAGCGCACGUAGGCGGCUUUGUAAGUUAGAGGUGAAAGCCCGGGGUUCAACUCGGAAUUGCCUUUAAGACUGCAUCGCUAGAAUUGUGGAGAGGUAAGUGGAAUUCCGAGUGUAGAGGUGAAAUUCGUAGAUAUUCGGAAGAACACCAGUGGCGAAAGGGCG